UACGUAGGGGGGCGAGCGUUAUCCGGAAUUACUGGGCGUAAAGCGCACGCAGGCGGUUCGCCAAGUUUGGAGUGACAGUUGUCGGCUCAACCGACAAAGGACUUCAAAAACUGGUGAACUUGAGGACGAGAGAGGAACAUGGAACUCCAGGUGUAGUAGUGAAAUGCGUAGAUAUCUGGAAGAACACCAAUGGCGAAGGCAAUGUUCUGGCUCGUUUCUGACGCUCAGGUGCGAAAGCACGGAGGCGAACGGG
rnacentral:rRNA from 1 species